AGCCGGUUAGCUCAGUUGGUUAGAGCGUCGUGCUAAUAACGCGAAUGUCGUGGGUUCGAGCCCCCAUACUGGUCA
rnacentral:tRNA from 1 species